UAUAUAUUGUUUUCUUGAUUUUAGAACUUCCUUUUUGUGUGUUGAGUUUAUUUAUUUCAGUUUGCUUUGCUAACUUUAGUAGCAAGAAGCUAGAUAGCUACCAGAGUGCAGUUUUCUCUGCCAGAAUGCCUUCCUACGACAAUGUAGCGCAUUUAUUUUGUUGAAGAACCCCUUUCGUUGCCCAGAUCAGAUUCAAGCUUCUGGGAAAAAACUGCAUCGAUCAUGUAAUGGACGAAGUUCUGCAUAUUCAAACUGCGCAACACAAUGAGAAGCUAAGUCCCCUCCUGUUCCCUGAUUAAGCCAUGAUGGCCUCUCCACUUCACUACCAGUGUCAACUCUCUCCCGACAUGAACUGAAGCCACGUCUCAUGUGCCCUCUCAUCCACUGGUGCAUUGAAUGUUUCAUCUCCAAGCACUUCCUGGCCUCAGUGGAAGAGUUGAGCUCUUCUCCAACACCAUCCAUCCACGAUGAGCCUGUCCUGCACUGAAGCCUUUGAACACCUCAACCCCUGUCCUGCACUGAAGUCAAGCCUCCGAACACACCCCAACUCAUACUCUCAUUCAAAUCACUGCUGUGAUAUCUUCCUAACACUAAGCAACCAUCUCAUUCUCAUUGCCCAUAAUAUUUUACCAUACAUGUCUUUAUUAAAUGUUUUAGGUUGAAAUAAUUUCUUACAUUUUUGUAAACACGCAUUAUCGCUUCCGUGCGGUCUGCAU